UACGAGGGGGGCGAGCGUUGUUCGGAAUUAUUGGGCGUAAAGGGUGCGUAGGCGGUUUGGUAAGUCUGAUGUGAAAUCUAUGGGCUCAACUCAUAGUCUGCAUCGGAAACUGCCGGGCUUGAGUGUGGGAGAGGUGAGUGGAAUUCCUGGUGUAGCGGUGGAAUGCGUAGAUAUCAGGAAGAACACCCGUGGCUAAGGCGGCUCUCUAGUACGGUACUGACGCUGAGACGCGAAAGCGUGGGGAGCGAACAGG
rnacentral:rRNA from 1 species